GAUGAACGCUAGCGACAGGCCUAACACAUGCAAGUCGAGGGGAAGGGCAGCAAUGCCCGAGACCGGCGCACGGGUGCGUAACGCGUAUGUAACCUGCCUUACACCGGGGGAUAGCCUUCCGAAAGGGAGAUUAAUACCGCAUAACACUAUAUUUCAGCAUUGGGGUAUAGUUAAAACUGAGGUGGUGUAAGAUGGGCAUGCGUAUGAUUAGCUAGUUGGGGGGGUAACGGCCCACCAAGGCGACGAUCAUUAGGGGUUCUGAGAGGAAGAUCCCCCACACUGGUACUGAGACACGGACCAGACUCCUACGGGAGGCAGCAGUGAGGAAUAUUGGUCAAUGGGCGGAAGCCUGAACCAGCCAUGUCGCGUGCAGGAAGACUGCCCUAUGGGUUGUAAACUGCUUUUGUAUGGGAAGAACACCAGAUACGAGUAUCUGUCUGCCGGUACCAUACGAAUAAGGAUCGGCUAACUCCGUG
rnacentral:rRNA from 1 species